GACGAACGCUGGCGGCGUGCCUAAUACAUGCAAGUCGAGCGCAGGAAGUCGACGGACCCCUUCGGGGGGAAGUUGAUGGAAUGAGCGGCGGCCGGGUGAGUAACACGUAAAGAACCUGCCCUCAGGUCUGGGAUAACCACGAGAAAUCGGGGCUAAUACCGGAUGGGUCAUCGGACCGCAUGGUCCGAGGAUGAAAGGCGCUUCGGCGUCGCCUGGGGAUGGCUUUGCGGUGCAUUAGCUAGUUGGUGGGGUAAUGGCCCACCAAGGCGUCGAUGCAUAGCGGACUGGAGAGGGGGAUCGGCCACACUGGGACUGGGACAGGGCCCAGACUCCUACGGGAGGCAGCAGUAGGGAAUCUUCGACAAUGGACGAAAGUCUGAUGGAGCAACGCCGCGUGAACGAUGAAGGCCUUCGGGUCGUAAAGUUCUGUUGUAAGGGAGGAACAAGUGCCGCAGGGAAUGGCGGCACCUUGACGGUACCUUGCGAGAAAGCCACGGCUAACUACGUG
rnacentral:rRNA from 1 species